AAAAAGAGAGAGAGAGAGAGAGAAAAAAAAAGAUGUUGAACGAGAAGAAGCCCUCGAAAGGUCAAUUUUGUUUCGUCCUAGUCAUCCUCUUCCUCCUUCCAUACUCUCACUUUUAACGAAGGAAGCCAGCAUAAAUAAAGAAGAAGGAAAGUUCCGAGAAGCAAAUCACAAAGGA
rnacentral:ribozyme from 1 species